rnacentral:rRNA from 1 species
GACGAACGCUGGCGGCGUGCUUAACACAUGCAAGUCGAACGAAGAGCGAUGGAAGCUUGCUUCUAUCAAUCUUAGUGGCGCACGGGUGAGUAACGCGUAAUCAACCUGCCCUUCAGAGGGGGACAACAGUUGGAAACGACUGCUAAUACCGCAUACGAUCUGACCUCGGCAUCGAGGAUAGAUGAAAGGUGGCCUCUACAUGUAAGCUAUCACUGAAGGAGGGGAUUGCGUCUGAUUAGCUAGUUGGAGGGGUAACGGCCCACCAAGGCGAUGAUCAGUAGCCGGUCUGAGAGGAUGAACAGCCACAUUGGGACUGAGACACGGCCCAGACUCCUACGGGAGGCAGCAGUGGGGAAUCUUCCGCAAUGGACGAAAGUCUGACGGAGCAACGCCGCGUGAGUGAUGACGGCCUUCGGGUUGUAAAGCUCUGUUAAUCGGGACGAAAGGCCUUUUUGCGAAUAGUGAGAAGGAUUGACGGUACCGGAAUAGAAAGCCACGGCUAACUACGUG